rnacentral:rRNA from 1 species
AUGAACGCUGGCGGCGUGCCUCAUACCUGCAAGUCGCGCGCACGGACGAGAAGCUUGCUUCUCUGAUGUUAGCGGCGGACGGGUGAGUAACACGUGGAUAACCUACCUAUAAGACUGGGAUAACUUCGGGAAACCGGAGCUAAUACCGGAUGAUAUUUUGAACCGCAUGGUUCAAAAGUGAAAGACGGUCUUGCUGUCACUUAUAGAUGGAUCCGCGCUGCAUUAGCUAGUUGGUAAGGUAACGGCUUACCAAGGCAACGAUGCAUAGCCGGCCUGAUAGGGAGAGCGGCCACACUGGAACUGAGAAUCGGUCUAAACUCCUCAGGGAGGCAGGAGUAGAGGAUGUUCGGCAAUGGGCGAAGGCCUGACGGAGCAACGCAGCGUGAAUGGUGAAGGUCUUCGGAUCGUAAAAGUCUGUUAUUAGGGAAGAACAUAUGUGUAGGUAGCUGAGCACAUCUUGACGGUACCUGAUCAGAGAGCCACGGCUAACUGCGUG